AGUCUCGGGGUGUGAUCACAUCAAAUUGCAAGUUUGAAGACGAGCCCUAAAAGGCUCCGGGGCUU
rnacentral:tRNA from 1 species